GAUGAACGCUGGCGGCGUGCCUAAUACAUGCAAGUCGAGCGCGAGAGUGAGGAGCUUGCUCCUCAUAAUCGAGCGGCGGACGGGUGAGUAACACGUAGGCAACCUACCCUUGAGAUUGGGAUAACUACCGGAAACGGUAGCUAAUACCGGAUACGACUUUUCCACACAAGUGGAAUGGUUAAAAGGCGGAUUUAUCUGCCGCCCAUGGAUGGGCCUGCGGUGCAUUAGCUAGUUGGUGAGGUAGUGGCUCACCAAGGCGACGAUGCAUAGCCGACCUGAGAGGGUGAUCGGCCACACUGGGACUGAGACACGGCCCAGACUCCUACGGGAGGCAGCAGUAGGGAAUCUUCCGCAAUGGACGCAAGUCUGACGGAGCAACGCCGCGUGAGUGAUGAAGGGUUUCGGCUCGUAAAACUCUGUUGUUAAGGAAGAACACUUGAGGUAGUAACUGGCCUUGAGAUGGCGGUACUUAACCAGAAAGCCACGGCUAACUACGUGCCAGCAGCCGCCGUAA
rnacentral:rRNA from 1 species